rnacentral:rRNA from 1 species
CAUGCAAGUCGAGGGGCAGCAUUUCAGUUUGCUUGCAAACUGGAGAUGGCGACCGGCGCACGGGUGAGUAACACGUAUCCAACCUGCCGAUAACUCGGGGAUAGCCUUUCGAAAGAAAGAUUAAUACCCGAUGGNAUAAUCAGACCGCAUGGUCUUAUUAUUAAAGAAUUUCGGUUAUCGAUGGGGAUGCGUUCCAUUAGGCAGUUGGUGAGGUAACGGCUCACCAAACCUUCGAUGGAUAGGGGUUCUGAGAGGAAGGUCCCCCACAUUGGAACUGAGACACGGUCCAAACUCCUACGGGAGGCAGCAGUGAGGAAUAUUGGUCAAUGGGCGCAGGCCUGAACCAGCCAAGUAGCGUGAAGGAUGACUGCCCUAUGGGUUGUAAACUUCUUUUAUAUGGGAAUAAAGUUUUCCACGUGUGGAAUUUUGUAUGUACCAUAUGAAUAAGGAUCGGCUAACUCCGUGCCAGCAGCCGCGGUAAUACGGAGGAUCCGAGCGUUAUCCGGAUUUAUUGGGUUUAAAGGGAGCGUAGGUGGACAGUUAAGUCAGUUGUGAAAGUUUGCGGCUCAACCGUAAAAUUGCAGUUGAUACUGGCUGUCUUGAGUACAGUAGAGGUGGGCGGAAUUCGUGGUGUAGCGGUGAAAUGCUUAGAUAUCACGAAGAACUCCGAUUGCGAAGGCAGCUCACUGGACUGCAACUGACACUGAUGCUCGAAAGUGUGGGUAUCAAACAGGAUUAGAUACCCUGGUAGUCCACACAGUAAACGAUGAAUACUCGCUGUUUGCGAUAUACAGUAAGCGGCCAAGCGAAAGCAUUAAGUAUUCCACCUGGGGAGUACGCCGGCAACGGUGAAACUCAAAGGAAUUGACGGGGGCCCGCACAAGCGGAGGAACAUGUGGUUUAAUUCGAUGAUACGCGAGGAACCUUACCCGGGCUUAAAUUGCAUUUGAAUANUNUGGAAACAGGNUAGCCGCAAGGCAAAUGUGAAGGUGCUGCAUGGUUGUCGUCAGCUCGUGCCGUGAGGUGUCGGCUUAAGUGCCAUAACGAGCGCAACCCUUAUCUUUAGUUACUAACAGGUCAUGCUGAGGACUCUAGAGAGACUGCCGUCGUAAGAUGUGAGGAAGGUGGGGAUGACGUCAAAUCAGCACGGCCCUUACGUCCGGGGCUACACACGUGUUACAAUGGGGGGUACAGAAGGCAGCUACCUGGUGACAGGAUGCUAAUCCCAAAAGCCUCUCUCAGUUCGGAUCGAAGUCUGCAACCCGACUUCGUGAAGCUGGAUUCGCUAGUAAUCGCGCAUCAGCCAUGGCGCGGUGAAUACGUUCCCGGGCCUUGUACACACCGCCCGUCAAGCCAUGAAAGCCGGGGGUACCUGAAGUACGUAACCGCAAGGAG